AUUGAACGCUGGCGGCAGGCCUAACACAUGCAAGUCGAACGAGUGGCGGACGAGUGGGUAAUGUGUGGGAAACUACCUGAGGGAAGGGGAUCAAAACUGGGAAGGGUAGCUCAUAGCGCAUACCAUCGGAUGUGCCCAGAUUGGGUUAGCUAGCAGGUGGGGUAAAGGCUCACGUAGGCGACGCACCCUAGCUGGUCUGAGAGGGUGACCAGCCACACUGGAACUGAGACACGGCCCAGACUCCUACGGGAGGAAGCAGUGGGGAAUAUUGCACAAUGGGCGAAAGCCUGAUGCAGCCAUGCCGCGUGUAUGAAGAAGGCCUUCGGGUUAGAAAGUACUGUCAGCGGGGAGGCGUUACCCGCAGAAGAAGCACCGGCUAACUCCGUGCCAGCCGCCGCGGUAAUAC
rnacentral:rRNA from 1 species